CAAUGUAUACUCAAACACGCGUGUAAGAAAUCCCUUUUUCUCGUGUGUUAAAUUAUAACAAAGAAGGAGGAAUAGCAACUGGAUAAACAUGCAGCUUUCACAUCAAUGGAAUAGUAUCUUUCGCAGCCAAAUUCAAUUGAAUUCACAUGAUAUAUCAGUGCUGUUUUUAAUCCUGUUCAUGUUCCUGCAAUCUUCGUUGUUGUUAUUUUCUAUCUUAUGGUUGGCUCCUUCACUAACCACAAUAAUUAAAUUUGACAUUUAAGGUCAAAUACAUCAUCCUCUUUUCCUCGCUGCUUCCUUGCUCUUGAAAUUCUCCAUAUAAUGAUCACUUUCACUUAGAAAAAGCAAACUAAAUAACCCUUUUGCUGCUGCUAUAUAUACAUGUGCAUGGCUGUUUUGGCCAUGUUAUAUCAAACACAGUAAACCUAGCUGUCUGAUUCUUCUGGGCUUGUCCUGUGGUUCUUUUCAAUCAUUAUUUCAGACUCAUCAUCAUCAUCUCCCAAUUUACUUUAAUUAUCUUAUUAAAGGACAGAGAUGAGUAAUGAAAGAGGAAGGAGUGCUAAUGUGGAAUUUGAGCUGAGCUUGUCCCCACCAACAACAGCAAACUCAUCAUUAGCCAACCCGUCAUCAUCAUCAUCAUCAUUGUGUUUGUAUUCAUCGGACCCUGAGUCAUGCGUGUCUUCCGAGACUAAUGAAGAGAUAAGAUCCAUGCUCCUCGUAGGUUGCCUUCGAUGCCUCAUGUAUGUUUUGUUUACAAAGGAUGAUCCCAACCCCAAAUGCCCCAGGUGCAAGAGUACCGUGUUGCUUCAUUUCCUUAAUAACAGCCAAAACACCAACAAAUCAACCACCAAGUUCUAGCUAGUGGAUGCAAAUCUCGUAGAGUUACACUGUUUUGCAUUGUGAGGGUGGUUAAAUACAUACACUAGUAAUUUUUACAUAUAAGAUUUGUUUGUUCUGCCUUCUGUUACAGAAGAAAAUUAUAUGUAUGACAAAAUUACAUGUAAAAAUAAAAUUCCUUUACGUAUA